UUUUAUACUACUCUCGGCCGAACCUCAUCACAUACAACCACUUUCAAAAUUUCAACUUAUUUUCUUGAAGAUCAUGGCCAUUUCAAGGUAGUUUUGAUUCGGUUUGAAGAUCUAAAGGUGAUUCCAAGACGAUUUCAAAGAGGAACAAGCUCAUUUUCAUCAAAAAUCUCAUCAAAAACCCACUUUUGUUCUUGAAAGGUGGGUAUGAUGAUGAUUGUGUACAUGAGUUCGGCUUCGAGGAUUUUGGCUUAUGUCGUCAUGUGGUUGUUGUUGUUUUUUGUAAUUAAAUAAUUAUGUUUGGACACUUUUAAAAACUGUUAUGGGACCGUGUGUACUAAGACCUCUAGGGUUUAAACAACUUCGCUAUGGUUGUGGACUAUGUUUACAACUUUAAAACUUUAUGUUU
rnacentral:lncRNA from 1 species